UGAUCAUAACCAACUAUCUCUCGCAACCCUAACCAGUAGGUUUCCACUCUGGCCCUGGAAGAGAAAAGAUGCAGUUUGCUUAAGAUUCGUCAACAUUCACAGCUCGCCCAUAGGUAGAUUUCCACUCCUAUGGUUGAUCUGCUCUUCUCAAACUAGAUCUGGCCCCGAAUGAAAACUUUCACAACACCAAAGACCUAGAUCAGAUUGUAGUUCAUGAC
rnacentral:lncRNA from 1 species